CUUGAACCCAGAUGGGUGGACGGAGUGCAGUGUUGUUUGUGAGGACAGAAGGCUCAGCUCCCAGGCACUCACUUGACUUCUGGGUCAGGGGAGGGAUUGCUUUCAUAUUAUUUAGGUUUUGGUUUUAUAGUUUUACAACUCACAUUUCUUACUGUAGCAUCACUCGGAGCUUUUAAUACACCAAAAGGCGCUGUGAAGCUUCACAGGGAUAUGCCUUUCUUACACUUGGAUGGUCUCAGAACCUUUUAUUAUUCCCAAAGCAUGGGGACUCAGCGUUCCACAGACAGGCUCUAGAAAACGCUCCUACUGGGACGGGUCACUCCAGAAAUCCAGCUUGUCAGGCAUGCUCCAGGGUCCUCUCAUACGCACCCUGAGGUCUUCUUAUCAGUUAGUUGAGGGUUAACUCAAUUAAUUGGUUAACUGAGGGUUUUGAUGUCACAGGAAAUCAGCAGCUGCCCUGGUCACCCGUGGUCCCAGCUGGAGGGGGAAGCCUCACUCUGCCUCCCAGCCUGCCCUUUGCACCCUGAUGUGGAUCCCAGGUGCCCAGAAUCCCAGUCAGCCCGCAGUGACCGAGGCCCUUCUCAGCACCAGCAUCUUUGGUGCCUACUUGCUCCUGAAAAGAAGAAACGAGAUGCUCAAAGCAGCAAACCCUGAAUCCCCAAGUCUGCGCCCUCAACUCCAAGCAGAGGAAAGCAGGAACCUCUUGUUCUGCGUGGACACCUUGGUGGCCUUCUGUUUUGCCUUAGUAACAGAAUCUGAUCUUGUUCAUCCUCAUUCGAGUCCUCUGGGGAAAUCUAGGCCAUUGCCUUUACCAGGGGUGAGAGUCCAUGGCCUUGGCUGGAAGGCCAAUGUGUUGGAAGGAUCUGUCCCAACAAAUGAUUGGUUUAGGCUUGGGUGUGGGGUGCCGUUUUGACCAAUGGACCUGAGCAGGAAAUCCGCCAAGGAAGCCUUUGGGUUUGGAGUCUGUGUAUUGUUCCUAAAAUCAGUCUUCCUAAAAGUGUUCCUAAAAGCAGUCUUCUUGGGUCCAUCAGGAGAACAAUCAAUGAGGAUAAUCCAAAAUAUUUUGGACGGCAGAGUAGAAAGAUGGAAAUAACCUGGGUCAUUGAGACAUUGGUGAGCUGGUGCGUUAACCAACCCCAGAGCGGCUGUCCGUCUGGACUCACUAUGAGAGACGAUAAACCGCUUUGCUGCUGAGAUGACGGCAAGUCAGGGUUUCCGUCACUUGCGCCCAUCUGCAUCUCAGUGGAUUCAGCUGAUGUCUUGUCCUAGACUCCAUCCAGAGGAGCACAUGUGAGCUUCUGACUCUCUCAGCCUCUGGCUCAGUGGGCUUUGGGAUAGACUUACAUGCCCAACCCUCAUCUGUAGUGAACUCCCGCCCAUUUCCCUUUCUCAGGGGUCCACUCGUCUUACCCCCACCUGGUAAACAGAGUCUCUGCUGAAUUACAAGAGAACAGGCCCUCCAGUCCGCACCUGGUCACCCAGCCGUCCAUUCCUGUGGUUGUGAGCAGGAGAAGGAUGUUGAAAACUGUGAGUCCUGACAAUGCUGUGUACACGGACGAUGAGUGUUUCCUUGGGUUUCCAUAGGUAAGGGACAGGAAGGAAGAGAAAAUAGGCUCAUUUUUUCUAACAUUGAUUAAUUCACACAAGGUCACAUUUUACACCAUUUUAAUUAACUUUCAGUGAGUUCAUGUUCAAAAUGGGGAAAAGGGUUUAUUAAAAUAAGUCACAAGAACCCUAGGUAAAACAGCAUGGGGUACUUAAAUAGAAUAGGAAAUUGGAAAUCUUUCCCUUCUGUUCUGAUGCAGGGAGGGGUUUUGUGAACUCCUGACUUUUCUCAAAUAUAUCCCCUUUGCAAAUGAUGGAAAGAAAUAGACUCACAGGCAGCGACUCCUCCAGGAAGCCCUUCCCGAGGUUUCUCGCCCCAAUGGUCCCCCUCCUCAGCCACUGGGUAGGACCCCUUCCUUGUUAACACCCCGGAAACCUCUGUCUCACAACCACUACCUUAUCCUGACAUUAAUUGUUUACUUUUUAUUUCUCCCACAAUACUGUGAGAUUUUUGAGGGUAAAACUGUCUUCAGGCAGGAUGCCUGGCAUAGCAUAGGUGCUCAGUAUAGGUUUAUGAAUGAAAGGAAUGAAAACCAAGAAAAAUUUUCCUGGCCUUCAUUUCAAUUCAACAAAGGACAAACGUGCCUAUUUUGCACUAUGUGAAGUGGAAGUGAAAGGGGCAAGUCCAUUCACAUGGUGUCCAGAGGCUGCAGGACCAGCUGCACACGCAGGGGGGCUGGUGGGGCAGAGCCGGUGGCCGUCCUCCGACGUGGGGCCUCGGGGUGAGUGUGGGUCCGUGUGCUUCACACACCUAGAAAUACAGGAGCAGGGCCUUAAAGCUGCCCAGCGGCACACCUGGGCCGGGGCGGGGCGUGGUUGCUGCCAGAGAUAUUUUUGUUCCAUGUUUUGGCUCCUCGGUUUGUCCCCAAAUUAAGCAAAAGCAUUUCUCCUGGCUGGGCUGACACUGACUCUCCAGGCACCUGCCCAUCUAACUCAGGAGGCCUCCACCCUUGCUCAUUUCUCAGAUGAAGCUUCAUCCCAGGCCUUCUCGUUGAGCGUGUCGUUGCGCCUGGUUACACAGCCAGUCACCGCAGGACCUCGCGUCCUCCUUGGUCACCCCACUGUGUCCUUUUCCUCUAUCCACUAGCCCACUGUCCUCUUCAUUCUAGCCCCCAAUGGGAUGACCAUGCCUGCCCCCACUUGGCAAACUAGCAUGAAAUGAACUGGAGGAAAAAGUGCCUGUCUUAUGAUGUUUCAGGAGGAGGCUUUGUAGCUGGGGAAGUUUGAGGCUGAAUUUCCCCGUGCUUAGAUUGACCUCCCUGUUGAGAUUUGUAAGUACUUGUGUGACUUACUUCUGAGAAAAUCUGAUACUCGGAUUCCUAAAUGUAGGGUCAAACGCUACUCAUACCACGAAAGGCUUCUCCCGUUUUCAAAAGAACUGUUCUCAUAGCACUCUUACAAAUCAGUAAUAGAACGGACAGCCGAACAAAAAUGAACAAAACAUUUGGUCAAGUUUUUCUUUUAAAAGUUUAUCUACGUGGCUGAUUGCAUAGAAAACUAUGCUCCAUUGUGUUAGUCAUCAGGCAAAUACAAAUUAAAACCAUAAUCUAAUAUCAACAGACACCCACCAGCAUGACUAAAAUGAAAGGCACAGGAAAUAGCAAGUGCUGAUGGAGACACAGAGCAGCUGAGAUUCGCGUUCACUGCUCGUGAGCUGGGGAAUUGGUGUAGCCUCUGCAGAAAACUGACAGCACUUUUAAAACUUAAAAUACGCAUAACCUCUGACUCAAAAUUUCCACCCAACAGAAAUGCAUGUGUAUGUCCACUGACACACAGAUCGCGAUGUGCCGAUAAGCACCAUUUGCUGUAGAAUAAAUCUGCUCAUUAUACACA
ensembl:lncRNA